ACAGAAUAAAAAAUUGACUAGGCUUACACAACUGAAGAAACAACAGCCACAUUUUUGUUUUCACGACGAAACAAGGUGAAUAUCACAGAAACAGAAGGACCGAACCAGCUUGUAAUUCAGCCGGUGGAAAAACAUAUUGGCAACGAGCAGUGCCCUCAACUUUCUCCCGUGAGCCGUGACUACACCUAACCGCCAUAAGAUUCAAAAUUACGAAUUUAUUUAUGUUUUAGGCAGAACAUACAGCGAAGAUAAAAGGAUUUUGAAUUUUUUAAAUUUGCAUACGCAGUUAGUGGCCGACAUUUUAAGGUAUUUAGUGACUCACAGGCGGCCUGUAACAUUGCUCUGUCUUUCGUGCAUGCAUAUUCGGUACUAUCCGGAAUUCACCUGGAAGGCUGGAACCUUUAGUGCUGAAUGUCAACAACAACAAUAGUGCUCACGCUAGUACGAUAUCAUUAGGUAAUCAAUAGUCCUGUACUUUUUAAGUUUUUAGGCCAUCGACUUAUUUCAGUUUUUGGCUUGGGCAAUUUCUUCAUGGCGCUAGUUGUAUACGGCUUCCGGUUAGCACAUUCCCGCCACCAGACUGAUUCCUCUUGGACUUGGUCACCACGUCGUGGAAGCAGAGGUGAAAAUAGGGGAAAAUAAUAAACUUGUCUUCGGGGUUGGGGAAGUAACGAGGAAGAAGUGGGGUCGGAGAGGGUUAUAUUUUAUUGAAUACUGAUGUGGUAGUAGAUGGUGAUAAACCUUUUUAUUAUCCCAUACACAUCCACUUAUGCAACCAUACUUCAAAAUGAAAAAUGCCCUUAUUAACCUAUAACUGAACAUUAAUCCACCUAUCAAUCCAUUCCUCCAAUACCAUAUUGUUAUAUAACUA